CAUAAAACAUGGAUGAUUUGUUAUCAGGAUACUCAUCUUAUGAGAGAAAGGUUGUUGUUCUUCAUUUUGAAGCCACAUCAAGUAACUAGAUUCGCUUUUUAUUUGUCAGAAAGAGUGUCUUAAUUUAUUUUAUUGAAAGUGGGAGGAAAUUGAUUUAUUUUUUCAUAAUAAAUUUUUGUCCAUAUUUAAGGAAAAAUUAUUCGAUUUUUUUCGGAGAAAGUAGAAUUCUUUGUGUCCGUCCAGUAGUUUGAACUUAAAAAAAAUGUGGCUGGAUCUUCAGAUUACAAAUAAAUAUUUUUUGGUAUCCCUUUAAGUUUCUUGCUUCUUUCAUUGAAAAAUAAAUUUUUACGAUGUCCCAGUUUGGAAUGUAAGCAAGCAAAUAAAUAUGUCCCGAUAUAUUAGUUUGAAAGAAAUAGUUACUUUGAUGACACACUUUGUCUUGAAGAGUCGGCAAACUUUCUCACAUAGAAUUGAUAAAUUAGCGCAGACAUAAAACAUGGAUGCUUGGUUAUUGGAAUAUUCAUCUUAUGUGAGAAAAGUUUUCGUUCUUCAUUUUGAAGUCACAUUAGGUAACUAGAUUUGCUUUUGUUCGUAAGUAAAAGUGCUUUAAUUUAUUUUAUCGAAAGUGAGAGGAAAUUGAUUUAUUAUUUCAAAAUAAAUUUGUGUUCAUGUUCAAGGAAGAGCUUUUUGAUUUCUUUGGAGAAAAUAGAAUUUCUUGUGUCUGUCCUGUAGUUUGAACUUAAAACAAAAGUAGCUGGAUCUUCUAAUUGCAAGUAAAUAUUUUUUUGUAACGUUUUAGGUUUCUUGCUUCUUUCGUUGAAAAAUGAUUUUUUACAAUAUUCCGGUUUGAAAAGUGAGAAAGCAAAUAAAUCUGUUAUGAUAUAUUAGUUCAAAAGAAAAAAAUUAUUUUGAUGAUGCACUUUCUCUUGAUGAGUCAGCAAACUUUCUCACAUAAGUUGACAAAUUAGCACAGACAAUACAUGGAUGCUUGGUUAUCGGGAUAUUUAUCUUAUGUGAGAAAGGUUGUCGUUCUUUAUUUUAAGGCCACAUCAGGUAUCUAGAUUUAUUUUUGUUCAUUGGUAAAAGUGCCUUAAUUUAUUUUAUUGAAAGUGAGAGUAAAAUUGAUUUAUUAUUUCAAAAUAAACUUUCAUCUGUGUUUAAGGAAUUUUUUUUUGAUUUCUUCGGAGCAAGUAGAAUUCUUUGUGCCCUCCGGUAGUUCGAACUAAAACAAAACGUGAUUGGAUCUUCUGACUGCUAGUAAAUAUUUUUUGGUAUCGCUUUAAGUUUCUUGCUUCUCUUGUUGAAUAAUAAUUUUUUACGGUAUUCCGGUUUAAAAAGUAAGCAAGCAAGUAAAUAUGUCUCGAUAUAUUAGUUUGAAAGAAAAAGUUACUUUGAUGACACUUUUUCUUGAAGAGUUUGCAAACUUUCUCACAUAAAGUUGACAAAUUAGCGCAAGCAUAAAACAUAGAUGCUUGGUUAUCGGGAUAUUUAUCUUAUGUGAGAUAGGUUGUCGUUCUUCAUUUUGAAGCGACAUUAAGUAACAAGAUUUGCUUUUGUUUGUCGGUAAAAGUGCCUUAAUUUAUUUUAUUGAAAGUGAGAGAAAAUUGAUUUAUUGUUUCAAAAUAAAUUUUCGUCUGUGGUUAAAGGAAAAGUUUUUCGAUUUCUUCUGAGAAAGUAGAAUUCUAUGUGUCUGUUUGCUAAUUUGAACUUAAAAAAAAAUGUGACUGGAUCUUUUGAUUGCAAGUAAAUAUUUUUAGUAUCGUUUUAAGUUUCUUGCUUUUUUCGUUAAAAAAAGUUUUUUAUGGUGUCUCGGUUUGGAAAGUAAGCAAGCAAGAAAAUAUAUCCUAAUAUAUUAGUUUGAAAGAAAAAGUUACUUUGAUGUUACACUUUUUCUUGAAGGGUUGACAAAAUUUUUCACAGAGAGUUGACAAAUUAGUGUGGACAAAAAACAUAGAUAUUUAGUUAUUGGGAUAUUCAUCUUACGUGAGAAAAGUUGUCAUUCUUCAUUUUGAAGUCAUAUCAGGUAACUAAAUUUGCUUUUGUUCCUCGGUAUGAGUGUCUUAAUUUAUUUUAUUGAAAGUGAGAGGAAUUUAAUUUAUUGUUUUAAAAUAAAUUUGUUUUCUUCGGAGAAAGUGGAAUUUCUUGUGUCUGUCUGGUAGUUUGAACUAAAAUAAAAUGUGGUAGGAUCUUUUGUCUGCAAGUAAAUAUUUUUUGGUAUCGUUUUAAGUUUUUUGCUUUUUUCAUUGAAAAAUAAAUUUUUUAGGGUCCCGGUUUGGAAGGUAAAAAAGCAAGUAAUAUGUCCCGCUAUAUCAGUUUGAAAGAUGAAGUUGCUUUGAUGACUCACUUUCUCUUGAAGAGUCAUCAAACUUUCUCACAUAGAGCUGACUGUGCUUGGUUUUCGAGAUAAAACAUGAAUGUUUGGUUAUUGAGAUAUUCAUCUUAUGUGAGAAAAAUUGUCAUAACUUCAUUUUAAAGCCACAUCAGUUAACUAGAUUUGCUUUUGUUUGUUAGUAAAAGUGUCUUAAUUUAUUUUAUUGAAAGUGAGAGGUAAUUGAUUUAUUAUUUCAAAAGAAAUAUACGUCUGUCUUCAAAGAAAUUCUUUUUAAUUUCUUCGGAGAAAGUAGAAUUCUUUGUGUUCGUUUGAUAGUUUCAACUUAAAAAAAAUGUGCUCGGAUCUUCUGACUACAAGUGCUAUUGUUUUAAGUUUCUUUCUUCUCUUGUUAAAAAAUAGUUUUUUAUGGUGUCCCAGUUUGGAAGGUAAGAAAGCAAGUAAAUAUGUCCUGCUAUAUUAGUUUGAAAGAAAAAGUUACUUUGAUGACACACUUUCUCUUGAGGAGUCGUUGAACUUUCUCACAGAGAGUGGACAAAUUAGCGCGGACAUAAAACAUGGAUGCUUGGUUAUUGGGUUAUUGAGAAACGUUGUUGUUCUUCAUUUUGAAGCCACAUCAGAGAACAAGAUUUGCUUUUGUUUCUCGGUAAAAAUACCUUAAUUUAUUUUAUUAAAAAUGAGAGGAAAUUGAUUUAUUAUUUUAAAAUAAAUUUGUGUCAGUUUUUAAGAAAAAGAUCUUCGAUUUCUUCGAAGAAAGUAGUAGUUUGAACUUAAAAAAAAAAAAUCCUAGAUCUUUUGACUGUAAGUAAAUAUUUUUUGGGUACAUUUUAAGUUUCUUGCUUCUUUAGUUAAAAAAUAAAUAUUUAUGGUGUCCUAGUUUAAAAAGUAAGAGAGCCUCAUUUUUUUACUUAGAAACUAAGCAUGUUUUAUAAAUUUUUAAAAAUGAAUGUGCUUUGAUGAAUAAAAAAAUGUUUCUUUCUUGAGAAAAUUUAAAUCUGCUCUAGACCUUUGUGUAGCACCAACUGUGAAAAAAUGAGUCUUGAACAUUUGAUUCCUAAUACAUAUGUUUAUGUUUGUCGAUUUGAAAAUGAAAGCUAUUGUGAUGGCCCCUCCCUCUCUUAGACAUUGCAAUUUGCUUUCCUAGUAUGUGAUGAUCAUGACGAAAGACUUGUAUGCUCAGUUAUGAGAACUGUUUAAAUAUAGUUGGAAAAGAAUAAAAAAUGGCUGGGUCUUUUGGGUAGAGAACAUUAUUUAUGUGGCCCUUGCAUCCAUAAUGAAUGUUUUAAUUGAGAUUUUCGGACCCAAGUAUAAGAGUUUCAAUUCCAUAUUAACAAGCUUGCGAUCCCAAAAUCGCUGUGCUUGGAUAAUCAUUUUGAAAGCUACAGGUUUCUUGAUCUUUCAAAACAAGCUUACUUUAUAUCCUUAGAUGUCUCGCAUCGAAAUAUGUAAGUUCGGAAAGUAAAAUAGCUCAAUUUAUUUUUUUGGAACAAUCUUGUCCCUCAUAAUAGUUCCAAUUCUUAAAAAAAUGUGACUUGAUCUUUUUGCUGGAAGUAAAUAUUUUUUAAUAUAUCAACUUAAAAUUUUUUAACCUUUUGUUGAAGCAUAAUUACAAUAGUUAUUCCAUAUGGGAAGUGUACCGAUUGGAACAUCAGAGAAGCUCAAGCGAUUGUUUAAAAGCUGAAAAAUGUGUUGUAUCUAUUUUUCAGAAAAGGAAAUGUUUCUCAGUGCAUAUAAAUGCGAUUCUUGAUUUUUUGUGGCAAAAUCAAAACACUUCGAUCCCUCAAGUUGUACCAACUCAAAAAAGAUAUUGCCUGAAAUUUCGAUCCAAAGUAAAUAUGUUUCGGUGUGUCGGUUUAAAACUAAAAGUUUCUUUUGUGGCACACUUUCUUAUGGAGAGUUAGGGGACCUUUCACUUAGUGACGACAAUAUGCUUUCCCAAUCUAUUUUUAGAAUGGACGGAAAAAUUUGAUGUUCGCUUAUGGGAAUUGUCAUUUUAUGUGAGGAAGGUUGCCACUCUUCAUUUUGUAGCCACAUUGAUAAUCUUGGUGCAGUUUUGUUCUUCGGUAAAAGUACCUCAAUUUGAUGUUUCAAAACUGGCAUUGUAUACUAAUUUUUUGAAAAUAAAUGUGCCUCGGUAUCUAUGCAAAAACUUCACAGUUUUUUAGAGAAAAGUAAAAUUCAUUUAAUCUCUUGAUUUUUUGGGGCAAUGUAAGAUUUUGCCGGUCUCUUAGAUAAUUUUAUCUCUAAAAAAUUGUCUCUUGAUCUUGUAAGUGGAAGUUAUUGUUCUUCGGUAUGUUGGUUUAAUGUUUAUCGAUUUUUUGCUUUAAAAAUAAAUUUACAGGUGUCCCAUAUGGAAAGUAUACCAGUUGGAAAAGUAAGUGGAUUUCAAGUAAUUCUUAAAAACUCAAAGCGUGUUGUAUAAAGAUAAAUGUGUCUUGGUGCAAAAGAGAAUGAUAUUGGAUUUCCUGUAGCAAACUAAAACUUUUUUAAUGCUUCAAGACUUUUGAUUCAAAGUAAAUAUUUUUCAGAAUAUGUUGGUUGAAAGUAAAAGUUACUUUGUUGAUACCCUUUUUCUUGGAGAGUUGACAACCUUUCUCUUAUAGAUCUGGUAGUGUGCUUUCUGACUUAUUUAUUACUACGGACGAAAGACAUGAACGCUCAGUUAUAGGAAUUAUUCAUUUUAUUUGAGAAAGAUCAUCGUUCUUGAUUUUGAAGCCAAUUAAUAAACUUGAUGUGCUUUCUUUGCUCAGUUAAAGUUUCCAAAUUCGUUGUAUUGCGAUGAGAGUGUAUUGGUUUAUCGUAAAUAAAUGUACUUUUAUGUGUAGGCAACGGUUUUUCAAUUUCUUGAGAAAAGGUAAAUCUUCCAAUCGCCACGGUAGUUGGAAGUCAAGAGAAGUAUGCAUGGAUUUUUUUUGGUUGCAGGUUAAUAUUUUUUAGUAUUUCAUCUCAAAGUUUCUUUGUUGUUUUUGUUUAACAGUAAUUGCUUCUAGUGUCCCAUAUGGAAUGUGUCCAGCUUUGGAAAGUAAGAGCGCCUAAAUUUAUUAUUUUGGAGCAUAAAAAUGUGUUUUGGAAUGUAAAUUUUUUUUUUAAUUUGUUGGGGCAAUUUAAAUAUCUCCAAUCCAGUUCUAGUUCUGAAAAAAUGUGCAUUGAACUUUUGAUUCAAUGAAAACCUGUUUCUGUAUGUGGCUUUGAAAGUAGGAGCUAAUUUGGUGGCAAUCUGAAAGUAAAAGUUAUCAUGGUUACACUAUUGCUCUUAGAGAUUUGGGUGUUCACUCUCCUAAUCUUUAGACCUAUGGGCAAAAAUGUGUAGGUUUGGUUAUGGGAUCUGAUAGUUUAUGCGAGAACUUUUGCUGUUUGUUUCUUUCAUUUCUUAUCACCACAAACUACAAACUUGUAUGCCCAGUUAUGUGUUACUUUUACAAGAAAGAGUGUUAUCUUUCUCUAUAUUGCAGCCUAGAUGUGUUAUCUUUCUCUAUAUUGCCUCCUAGAUAUUAAGUGACACAAUGAAGGUAUUGAGACUUGGUGGAAAAUGAUGUCAUCCUGGUCACUGAUUCCACAAGUUUCUAUCAUAAAUUUUUUUUUGGCCCUUCUACAUCUUAUAUUAAAUGAUAUGGGUACGUAAAAAUGUCAUGAUCUUUUAAGUUUUGAAAGAAAAGUACCUUUUGCCUCUUAGGCCCAAAAUAUGUGCAGCUUAUGUUUAUGUCUCUACUUAGGUAUACCAUUAUCUUUUUUCUUGGUUCACUGGUAGGUUAUACCAAAAAUUCUAAUUAUUGAAAUUGGUUGAGCUACCAUAAUUACAGUAGGUGUUCCAUAUGAAAUGUGUACCAGUUGGAACACUAAGAGAGGGUCAAGUAAUUGUUUAAAAGCUGAAACAAUGUGUUGUAUCUAUUUUUAAAGAAAGAAAAUGUGCCUUGGUGCAUGAAAAUGUGAUUCUUGAUUGUUUGUGGCAAAAUAAAACUGCUUUGAUUCCACAAGUUCUACCAAUUCAAAAAGAUGUGGCUUGAAAUUUUGACCAAAAGUAAAUAUGUUGUGGUGUAUCGGUUUGAAAAUAAAAGUUUCUUCGAUGAUACUUUCUUUUGGAGAGUUAGGCAACCUUUCAUUUAGUGGUGGCAAUAUGCUUUCUCAAUCAAUUUUUAGCAUGGACGGAAAAGUUUGAUGCUCAGUUCUGGGAAUUGUCAUUUUGUUUGGGGAAGGUUGCCGCUCUUCAUUUUGAAGCCACAUUGAUAAUCUAGAUGCAUUUUUGUUCCUCGGUAAAAGUUUCUCAAUUCGAUAUUUUGAAACUAACACUGUAUUAACUAAUUUUUUAAAAAUAAAUGUGCCUUGGUGUCUAAGCAAAAGUUUCUUUGUUUUUUGGGAAAAAGUUAAAUUUCUUCGAUCUCUCGGUUGGUUGGAACAUAAAAAGAAAUAUGUUUUGAUGUUUUGCUUGCAAGUAGAUAUUUUUUAUUGAAAUAUAAAAAAACAGUUUUCUUAUGGUCUCCUACAUUGAAAGUGUUUUGGUUCGGGAAGUAAAGGAGGCUCAAUUUAUAAUUUCGAACCUGAAAACAAUUUUUUUUGUAUUAUUUAAAGAUAAAUGUGACUUGAUGCACGAGAAAAUGGAUUUCGAUUUUUUGGAGCAAUGUAAAUUUGCUCCAACUCCUCUUGUAGUUCCAAUUUUUGAAAAAACAUGCGUUGAACUUUUGAUCCGAGAGAAAUAUGUUUUUGUUUGUGGCCGUAAAAGUAAAGGAUACUGGGAUGACAUCUCUUAUGAUAUUGUAAUAUGCUUUCCUAAUAUAUGAUAACUAUGGAUAGAAAAUUUGUAUGCUGGAUUGCGAAAACUAUUAUAUUCAGUUUAUGUAAGAUAUAUGAGAUGUGUUUUGAAAGUUUGAAUUUCAUGAUCUUUUGGCACAAACAUAUAUCAUUCAAUGUCCCAUAUUCAGAAAGUAAAUGGCCUCGAUUAAUUUUUUUGAGAGCGAGUGUGUCAAUUUAUUUUUUAAAUAAAUUUGUUUGUUGGUGCUUGAACAAAUGUUCCUUAAUUUUUUGGGGCAGUGUAAGAUUUUGCCAGUCUCUUGGAUGAUUCUAUCUCUAAAAAAUUGUCCCUUGAUCUUUUAACUGAAGUUAAUUAAUCUUUGGUAUAUAAUUUUCUUGAUCUUUUGCUUUAAAAAUAAAUCUACAAGAUGUCCCACAUGAAAAGUAUACAAGUUGGAAAAGUAAGUGGAUGUCAAAUAAUUUUUUUAAAAUUGAAAGGCAUGUUGUAUCUAUUAUUUGAAAGAUAAAUGUGCUUUGGUGCAAAAGAAAAUGAUUUUGAAUUUCCUGCAGCAAAGUAAAACUUUUGUGAUGCUUCGGGUUGUCUAAACUCUAAAAGUUGUGGUUUGCACUUCUGGUUCAAAGUAAAUAUUUUUCAGAAUAUGUUUGUUGAAAGUAAAAGAUACUUUGAUGACACCUUUUCUCUUGAAGGGUUGGCAACCUUUCUCCUAUAAUUGUGGAAUCUCAUUAGAGAUUAGAUAUGGUAGAAAAACUUGUUGAACCUUCGAAGCAAGUAGGGAUGGCUCUUGAAAUACAUGUUCUGCAGUUAUCAUUAGAGAAUGUUUCAGAAGAACCUUUCCAAUAGUUUUCAGAUGAAGAAGUAGAUUAUGGUUCAAAAUCAUUUAUUUAGGAGUUAAAAAUCAAUAGAGCAAAUAGAGCUUGUCCCAGAAACACCAAGAUCACUGAGGGCACUGAAAGCUCCAGUUAUGAUAUUAUGGAUACAGUAAGAAGUAAAAAUAGAUUUGAAAUUACCGAGAAAGGGGUAUCUCUUAGCAAGGAUGAAGAAUUUGAUCUCAAUUUAAUGAGUGAGGUAAAGUAACUUGUUUGAAUGCCCUUUUUUGCACAUUAUCUUGUUUCCUCGAUAACCUUUCAUAUUCUGAAACUGUGUUAGAUGAGGCGUAGUAUGUUUUCUAUAUGAUUGUUUCCAUUUUCUCUCUUGUACAUCCUAUAUUGUGCUGUUAAAGAUUCAUUUUUGGUUGGUCAGGAAAUGAGUCUAGUUGAAAGAGAUGAGAACCAAUUAGAGGGUGGCAACCUAUUUGGGGAAAACUUUUACAGAUCAAAGGGAAAAGCAAGAGGAUGAAGUGGGAGCCUGUCGCAAGUUUCAGAAAGAAGAACCAGAAAAGGAAAUUUAAGGUUCUUUUAUGAGAUACUGCUUUUUUGUGGCUCGGUUUCUUAACGUAUAUUUGAGUGUGUUCGAGCUUUUGAACAUGAACCCAUUGUUUAUAUUUAAAUGUAAACUCUAAUAAAUGUUCGGCUGGAUGGUUAUUAUGUAUCUCUCUCUAUAAGAGAUUGUAGAUUCUAAUUAAACCAUGUAUUCUCAUGUGUUCU